AGUGAACGCUGGCGGUAGGCCUAACACAUGCAAGUCGAACGGCAGCACAGUAAGAGCUUGCUCUUACGGGUGGCGAGUGGCGGACGGGUGAGGAAUACAUCGGAAUCUACUUUUUCGUGGGGGAUAACGUAGGGAAACUUACGCUAAUACCGCAUACGACCUACGGGUGAAAGCAGGGGAUCUUCGGACCUUGCGCGAUUGAAUGAGCCGAUGUCGGAUUAGUUAGUUGGCGGGGUAAAGGCCCACCAAGGCGACGAUCCGUAGCUGGUCUGAGAGGAUGAUCAGCCACACUGGAACUGAGACACGGUCCAGACUCCUACGGGAGGCAGCAGUGGGGAAUAUUGGACAAUGGGCGCAAGCCUGAUCCAGCCAUACCGAGUGGGGGAAGAAGGCCUUCGGGUUGUAAAGCCCUUUUGUUGGGAAAGAAAAGCAGCAGGUUAAUACCCCGCUGUUCUGACGGUACCCAAAGAAUAAGCACCGGCUAACUUCGUG
rnacentral:rRNA from 1 species